AAUACACCGUUAUACAGACGGUAAUAGGUGGAUUGCUAGGCUUGAGAAGAGAUGAAGGACGUGGCAAGCUGCGAUAAGCUCGGGGUAGGCGCACGCAUCCUAUGAUCCCGAGAUGUCCGAAUGAGAAUCUUACACAUUUGUGUAUUCCAGUACAUUAGUAUUGGAAGUCGAACCGUGGGAAUUGAAGCAUCUUAGUACCACGAGGAAAAGAAAUCAAUAGAGAUUUCCCAAGUAGAGGCGAUCGAAAAGGAAAGAGCCCAAACUGAAUCCUUCGGGAGAUGUGGUGUUUUGGUAUGAUAAUAUGGAAUCUUAAAGCACAGCUGAAAUGAUCUGGAAAGUUCUGGAAUAGAGGGUGAUACCCCCGUAAGCGAAGUGUGGAGAGUCCUAUUCAUACCCGAGUAGUUGUCCUUGGUAGUGGGCAAUGAAUAUGGGUGAAAGUAGCAUCCGAGGCUAAAUAUUUCUCAAGACCGAUAGUGGACUAGUACCGUGAGGGAAAGCUGAAAAGUACCCCGGAAGGGGGGCGAAAAGUGCAUGAAACCUAUUACUUACAGACGUGCGUGGCAUGAAAGGUGAUUUUUUCAGAUUAGAGAUUCUAGCAAUAGAGUUGAAGAUUUGAUGUUCAAAUCAUCAGUGUCACGCGUUCCGUCUCGAAACACGGGCCAAGGAGCUAACCGUCAUGGCAAGCUUAAACCUGCAAAGGUGCAGGCGAAGGGAAACCGAGCUCUCGCAGCUUCGCAAGAAGUGAGGAGAGGCGUGUGAAAGUGCGUAGAGUCAUGGCGGCUAGGCUAGAAGCCAGUCGAUCUAUUCCUGAGCUAGAUGAAGGGGGGCGAAAGCCCCCUGGAGGUCUUAAGACGUUCUGACGUGCAAAUCGUUGUUGUGACUUGGGAAUAGGGGUCAAAAACCAAUCUAGACUGGCGCUCGCUAGUUCCAACCGAAGCGUCUCGCAGGGCGUGGUUUGUGGAGAUAGCGUUUCCGGUAGAGCACUGAUAGAAGGGCGCGGGGGAGAAAUCCCUCACCCUCCAUUCAAACUCCGAACGGAUACGCAUCGUAGAAGCAGGCACACGGGCUCAUGUGGCGUAAGGCUCAUGGCCGAAAGGGGUUUAACCCAGACUGAAGUUAAGGUCCCCAAAUUUUUGCUAAGUGUCAAGCGAAAGAGCGUGUUCUCGCCAAGACAGCAGGGAGGUAAGCUCAGAAGCAGCUAUCCUUUAAAAAAUGUGUAACAACUUACCUGCCGAGGGGGGAUGCCUCAAAAACGGACGGGGCUAAAGCAAAAUACCGAUACUUUAGAUAAUUAUCAUUAGAUAAUUCGUGGUAGGUUGGCGUAGUGAUUGGGUCGAAGCAGGGCGAUGACGUCCUGUGGACCGAUUUCUAUUGCAGAUCUUGGCGGCAGUAACAGCAUAGUAUUGUGAGAAACAAUACCACCGCAAGCGCAAGGGUUUCCAGGCAAUGCGUUAUCAGCCUGGAGGUAGUCGAUCCUAAGAUGUGCCUCAACAGAGUACAUCGAAUGGGAAAUCAGUUAAUAUUCUGAUACCUUGUAACAAUCGUUUGAGCUAUAUGAUUCGCUUCCGGAUAAGGAGUGUACAACUAUCGUUGUAUCCAAGCAUUCGAGGAUUGGGGAGUGUCGUAAUGACGAGAACCUUUCCGAGGUGUAAGUGGCUUCGCGUUAGCGAAGUUUUCUUGAUUCCAGGAGACCAUGAAAGAUUGUGUAGUUAGAAAGUAACAAGUUCGUACCCAGAACCGACACAGGUGCGCUGGCUUAGAAAGCUAAGGUGCUACGGGUAUACCGUAUGGCGAGGGAAUUCGGCAAAUUAGUCCUGUAGCUUAGGUAUAAGGGAUGCCUGCGGGCUUCAUGAGGAAUGGGGUCCGCAGGUUGCAAUAACAAGGGGGUUCCGACUGUUUAAUAAAAACACAGGCGACUGCUAGUCCGAAAGGAUUUGUAUAGUCGCUGAAUCCUGGCCGGUGCCGGUACCUAAAACUUGGGUUCAACCGAGCUAAGGGCCGGUUAACGCCGGGAGUAACUCUGACUCUCUUAAGGUAGCCAAAUGCCUUGUCGGGUAAGUUCCGACGCGCAUGAAUGGAACAACGAGAGCCCCACUGUCCCCGCCUACAACCCGGUGAAGCCACAUAAGGUGGACGAACAGUCCAUCAACUUCCAUCGGGGAGAGAAGACCCCGUGGAGUUUUACUGCAGCUUGUGCUUGUGGUAUAGUAAGAAUUGCACAGGGUAUCUGGGAGCUAUGCUUAACAUUCCCCGGGAUGUUAAUGAAGCAACGAUGUAACACCAGACUCUUUUUGCAGUACCACUUAUCCAGUGAAGACCGGAGACACGUGCAGGUAGGCAGUUCGGCUGGGGCGGCACCCCUUUGAAAAGAUAUCAAAGGGGCCCAAAGUUGAGUUCAAACGGGGCAGAAAUCCGUUGAAGAGGGCAAAGCCAAAAACUCGACUGAAUGGAUUUCCAAACGCACGGAAUUCAUAGACGAAAGUCUGGCUUAGCGAUCCUUCGUGUGCCCACUAUUGGGGCCCGGAGGUGACAGAAAAAUUACCCCAGGGAUAACAGGCUCGUCGCGGGCGAGAGCUCCUAUCGACCCCGCGGUUUGGUACCUCGAUGUCGGCUUUUCCUAUCCUGGUCCUGCAGCAGGGGCCAAGGGUGAGGCUGCUCGCCUAUUAAAAGGGAACAUGAGCUGGGUUUAGACCGUCGUGAGACAGGUCGGUCUCUGCCUGAUGGAAGCGUGAAUAACUGAGGGGAACUUGCUCCUAGUACGAGAGGAACAGAGCAGGGUGGCCACUGGUUUACCGGUUGUCUGAUAAGGCAGGCCGGGCAGCUAAGCCGUUUAGGCUAAGUGCUGAAAGCAUCUAAGCACGAAUCCUAUCCCGAGACAAGUUAUUCUUUCGUAAGAUGAAGGUCGGCAGUCCAAUACUGCGUUGAUAGGAAGGUGGUGUAGAUCACAAGCUUCGGCGAGUGGUGAGCCAGCCUUUACUAAUAGACCAACAUAACGGUUCAGCCACUUACAUAGAGACUAUG
rnacentral:rRNA from 1 species